rnacentral:lncRNA from 1 species
CAGUCUUUUGGCAUUACAUGAUUAUGUGAUUUUAGUUUUAUUAACCAAUCCAUGUAGUGAAACCUUUGAAUUGACUAAUUUUUAUUUCUGCACAGGAUGCUGAUAUUGAAGUACAACCAUGCUAUGUUGGCAGAAAAUGGUUGACAUGUAACCUGACCGAUACUCACAAUGAGUGGGGGAGAGGAGGGAACAAAUUUUUUUGGACUUUUUUAUUCAUGCGGGACCUAUGCGCAUGUGAGAGAAUAUCAACCAACAGAAAAAUUAUAACAAACCAACUUAAUUCUAUUGUAGUAUGCCCAUAGGUAUAGGCUAUGAUGCUGGAGCCUAGGGCCAAGCCUGUGAAAUCUUAACGACUCUUUGCUUUGGCAGUGCAUUUGAAGUAACCGUUGUGCUGGUUGGAAGUUGGAGUCGACAAGACUUGAUGAUUCGAGCUUCUAAAUGUGCUCGUGUCUGACUUUUCUUUUUCCCUCCAUGGACAUUGCUAAAAAAGGUGCACAUAUCUGUAUGAUUUAUAUUUUUUUUAUGAAUUACGCGUCUGCAAAUAUUUGCAUGAUCCAUAUUUUGUAAAUGCUGCAGAUGUGGGGUUUUAAUUUGUUUCAGUUCAAAGCAUUUGAAUGAUUGAACAGGUGGAAAUAGGAAUGGAGGUUUCUAACCAUUGGCUUGAAUUGUAUAUUGGUCUUCGAACUAGCGAGAUUGGACACAAAAUCUUUCAUUAAAAAAACAUGCAACAUAAUUGAAACUCCUUUACUUGCAAAGUGCAGAAACAAGAUAGAGACAUCUGUCGCUACUUUUCUUUUGGACAAAAACCCACCUUAUGUGUAAG